rnacentral:rRNA from 1 species
UAAGACUGGGAUAACUUCGGGAAACCGGAGCUAAUACCGGAUAACAUAUUGAACCGCAUGGUUCAAUAGUGAAAGGCGGCUUUGCUGUCACUUAUAGAUGGAUCCGCGCCGUAUUAGCUAGUUGGUAAGGUAACGGCUUACCAAGGCAACGAUACGUAGCCGACCUGAGAGGGUGAUCGGCCACACUGGAACUGAGACACGGUCCAGACUCCUACGGGAGGCAGCAGUAGGGAAUCUUCCGCAAUGGGCGAAAGCCUGACGGAGCAACGCCGCGUGAGUGAUGAAGGUCUUCGGAUCGUAAAACUCUGUUAUCAGGGAAGAACAAAUGUGUAAGUAACUGUGCACAUCUUGACGGUACCUGAUCAGAAAGCCACGGCUAACUACGUGCCAGCAGCCGCGGUAAUACGUAGGUGGCAAGCGUUAUCCGGAAUUAUUGGGCGUAAAGCGCGCGUAGGCGGUUUUUUAAGUCUGAUGUGAAAGCCCACGGCUCAACCGUGGAGGGUCAUUGGAAACUGGAAAACUUGAGUGCAGAAGAGGAAAGUGGAAUUCCAUGUGUAGCGGUGAAAUGCGCAGAGAUAUGGAGGAACACCAGUGGCGAAGGCGACUUUCUGGUCUGUAACUGACGCUGAUGUGCGAAAGCGUGGGGAUCAAACAGGAUUAGAUACCCUGGUAGUCCACGCCGUAAACGAUGAGUGCUAAA